rnacentral:rRNA from 1 species
UACGUAGGCAGCGAGCGUUGUUCGGAGUUACUGGGCGUAAAGGGUGUGUAGGCGGUUGUUUAAGUUUGGUGUGAAAUCUCCCGGCUCAACUGGGAGGGUGCGCCGAAUACUGAAUGACUUGGAGUGCGGGAGAGGAGAGUGGAAUUCCUGGUGUAGCGGUGAAAUGCGUUGAUAUCGGGAGGAACACCCAUGGCGAAGGCAGCAUACUGGUCGGCAUCUGACGCUGAGGCGCGAAAGCGUGGGUAGCAAACAGG